GUAUGUAUAUGCAUGACUUUCUUCAAAAUCAAAAUUGCCCCAAGUCAGGUUCAAUAUGGCGUGUUCCUCUUUCUUGUGUUGAUCUUCGUCGUCAUGUUCUUCACCCUACUCGACCACUUGCUCACUGCCUCCAAUCGCCAAAUGCUGCUCUUUUCCGGUGCCAACUCCCAACAUCGCCGCUAGCUAGCGGAGGCGGUCGACACAGCUGUGCGCGGCGUGAACACGUGCCCCGUCCAUACGGCGGACUACAUGUUCUACGAGGAGCCGAGGCUGGACAGCCAGUUGAGCAGGGAGAUGAAUUGCUACAAGGAGAGACAUUGCCGCAAGGUGGGAGACUCGCCACGCUGCUUGAUGUUGCGAGAAAUUGCAGAGGGAUGCGACUGUAAUUGCGGUUGGUCAGAGUUCAAAAUCCUUUUAUCUGCUAUUGGAUUCUCUCAGGUUGCAAGAAGGAAUGAGUUUGUGGUGGUUCCGCUUGGGUUCUGCAGCAACCCAAGGCUUCGGAUUUUACUAAUCGGCAAGAGUACAGUGAGUGGCAGAAAACAACCGUGAAGGUUCUCGGGGCUAGUUUGCUCUUUGCCUCCAAAACUGCGGUUUGGUUGAAUCAUUAUUGUUGAUAGGAUUUUUGAAGUUUCAGGAGCUUUUAAGGGGUUAGAGGACAUUGAACCUUUGGAUGUCAUUGAUUGAUUCCGCAUGAAAUUUUUGUUUUUUUGGAAUCUGGGUUGCUGCAUUUCUAGCUUAUUGAAUUGAUUUUGUUGCUUAAUUAGUGUAGAUGUUUAAAUUGAGUUUGUUUUUAAAGUGGUGGGAUUUUAGAUUCAUGGAAUUAUGCUUCCUUGUGAUUGUGUUAAACCCAACAGGGAUUGGGUUUAGGAGAAGGAGUUGGUCUUUCACAAUGUAACUAACCCAACUCCAAAUUUCUGAUAAGAGAUGUGCAUUGCCUUUUUGAAGAAGGAAACUUUGGGAACCAAACAAUAUACUUGCAUCUCAGUGAUUGGGGAAUUUUCUUUUUCUUUUAGAUUUGUUUGAAAUGUUAUACGACUUUUUUAUUUUCAUUUUUGGUUGUUAUGUAAUUCAAGUGUAUUUUAAAGGUUGGUUAAAUUUCUUAAAUCUUGGUUUUAGUCUAACAACAAAUUUGGUGUGCUGUUAUUGCGUAGAACUGGAUUGCAGGGAAAGAUACCGAAAUGGUUUCCCCUCUUUCUUGAUUGAUAUUAUGAUUUUGGAAGCUUUUUUAGUAACCAACAAUGUGCUUUGUGGUUUCUUUCACAAGAUGGUUUUGAGGGGAAACGACUUAUGAUUCACAUAGUUAGGUGCAGGAGACUAAGUAUGUGUUUGAGGCAAAGACUAUUCAGAGAAUGGAGCUGCUGGUGCUGUCCACCCUCAUUUCUAGAUCACAUCAUAAGAAGGCUCGGAUUGAAAACUCAUCUUCACUGGAAGUUUCUCAGGCGCUGAGAGCAUCUUCUUUUGUCUGUGCUUUUGGAUUCGGGAUUUGUUGGGCGCCUUCCUUCUAUUUUGGCCACUGCAACAAUGCUGCAUGUUAUAAACCAGAUUGAACACAGUGGUGGCUGGAAUACAAAAAUCAGCUUCUGAGUGUUCUCAAAAUUAGCAAGGAGAAAGUUGAUUUGGUUGACCUCAUUGUUAGACGUAAGAAAGGAGCUAGUUGUGAUGAGAUAAAAGCUGCUGUGAAGGAAGCAUCUAAGGGAAGUAUGAAGGGAAUCCUUGUAUAUGCAAAAGAUGAUGUUGUGUCUACUGAUUUUGUUGGUGACAAUAGAGGGGCUGUUAUCCUAAUGCAAAUGAUUUCGGAUCUAAGGUCAUUCCCUUGGUUGCAAGAGAUUUUAAUGUCCAGGUAGUUGCUCAAUGUAAAAACUACUGAAGUUAUAAUUUGAUAGCAUGACUUUGUCUGAA